AAAACUGUGCAAUGCGCGAAAGCGCGACACGGGGAGCCUGAGUGCCUUGACUUUUUGUCAAGGCUUUUCUGAUGCCUAAAAAGCAUCAGGAAUAAGGGCUGGGCAAGACGGGUGCCAGCCGCCGCGGUAACACCCGCAGCUCGAGUGGUGAUCACUUUUAUUGAGUCUAAAGCGUUCGUAACCGGUCUUAUAAAUCUUCAGAUAAAUUCUUCCGCUUAACGGAAGAACUUCUGAAGAGACUGUAAGACUUGGGACCGGGUGAGGUUGAAUGUACUUUCAGGGUAGGGGUAAAAUCCUGUAAUCCUGAAAGGACGACCGGUGGCGAAAGCGUUCAACUAGAACGGAUCCGACGGUGAGGGACGAAGGCUAGGGGAGCAA
rnacentral:rRNA from 1 species